GAUGAACGCUGGCGGCGUGCCUAAUACAUGCAAGUCGAGCGAACAGAUGAUGAGCUUGCUCCUCUGACGUUAGCGGCUGACGUGUGAGUAACACGUGUAUCACCUACUUUUAUUUCUGGGAUAAUUUCGGAAAACCGGAUCUAAUACCGGAUAAUAUAUUGAACCGAAUGGUUCAAUAGUGAAAGACGGUUUUGCUGUCACUUAUAGAUGGUUCUGCGCCGGAUUAGCUAGUUGGUAAGUUAACGGCUUACCAAGGCAACGAUGCGUAGCCGACCUGAGAGGGUGAUCGGCCACACUGGAACUGAGACACGGUCAAGACUCCUACGGGAGGCAGCAGUAGGGAAUCUUACGCAAUGGGGGAAAGCCUGACGCAGCAACGCCGAGUGAGUGAUGAAGGUCUUCGGAUCGUAAAACUCUGUUAUUAGGGAAGAACAAAUGUGUAAGUAAAUAUGGACGUAUUGACGGUACCUAAUCAGAAAGCAACGGCUAACUACGUG
rnacentral:rRNA from 1 species